rnacentral:rRNA from 1 species
AGUGGCGAACGGGUGAGUAGCACGUGAGCAACCUGCCCCGAAGACUGGGAUAACACCGGGAAACCGGUGCUAAUACCGGAUAUCCCCACCGAAUCGCAUGGUCUGGUGAGGAAAUGGAUUCCGCUUCGGGAGGGGCUCGCGGCCAUCAGCUUGUUGGUGGGGUAACGGCCUACCAAGGCUUCGACGGGUAGCUGGUCUGAGAGGACGAUCAGCCACACUGGGACUGAGACACGGCCCAGACUCCUACGGGAGGCAGCAGUAUGGAAUCUUGCGCAAUGGGCGAAAGCCUGACGCAGCAACGCCGCGUGAGGGACGAAGGCUUUCUGAGUUGUAAACCUCUUUCAGCAGGGACGAUUAUGACGGUACCUGCAGAAGAAGCACCGGCCAACUACGUGCCAGCAGCCGCGGUGAUACGUAGGGUGCAAGCGUUGUCCGGAUUUAUUGGGCGUAAAGAGCUCGUAGGCGGUUUGAUUAGUCGGAUGUGAAACCCCCAGGCUUAACCUGGGGCCGCCAUCCGA